CUACGGGUUGCUCCAGUGGGGAAUAUUGGACAAUGGGCGAAAGCCUGAUCCAGCAAUGCCGCGUGUGUGAAGAAGGCCUGCGGGUUGUAAAGCACUUUCAGUAGGGAGGAAAAAGUAGCGGUUAAUACCCGUUACCUUGACGUUACCUACAGAAGAAGCACCGGCUAACUCUGUGCCAGCAGCCGCGGUAAUACAGAGGGUGCAAGCGUUAAUCGGAAUUACUGGGCGUAAAGCGCGCGUAGGCGGUCGGGUCAGUCGGAUGUGAAAGCCCCGGGCUUAACCUGGGAAUUGCAUUCGAUACUGCCAGGCUGGAGUGUAGUAGAGGGAAGCGGAAUUCCGGGUGUAGCGGUGAAAUGCGUAGAUAUCCGGAGGAACAUCAGUGGCGAAGGCGGCUUCCUGGACUAACACUGACGCUGAGGUGCGAAAGCGUGGGGAGCAAACAGGAUUAGAUACCCCCGUAGUC
rnacentral:rRNA from 1 species